rnacentral:rRNA from 1 species
UACGGGGGGGGCAAGCGUUGUUCGGAAUCACUGGGCGUAAAGCGCACGUAGGCGGCUUUUUAAGUCAGGGGUGAAAUCCUGGAGCUCAACUCCAGAACUGCCUUUGAUACUGGGAAGCUCGAGUCCGGGAGAGGUGAGUGGAACUCCGAGUGUAGAGGUGAAAUUCGUAGAUAUUCGGAAGAACACCAGUGGCGAAGGCGGCUCACUGGCCCGGUACUGACGCUGAGGUGCGAAAGCGUGGGGAGCAAACAGG